rnacentral:rRNA from 1 species
GAUGACGCUGGCGGCGUGCCUAAUACAUGCAAGUCGAACGCACAGCGAAAGGUGCUUGCACCUUUCAAGUGAGUGGCGAACGGGUGAGUAACACGUGGACAACCUGCCUCAAGGCUGGGGAUAACAUUUGGAAACAGAUGCUAAUACCGAAUAAAACUUAGUGUCGCAUGACAAAAAGUUAAAAGGCGCUUCGGCGUCACCUAGAGAUGGAUCCGCGGUGCAUUAGUUAGUUGGUGGGGUAAAGGCCUACCAAGACAAUGAUGCAUAGCCGAGUUGAGAGACUGAUCGGCCACAUUGGGACUGAGACACGGCCCAAACUCCUACGGGAGGCUGCAGUAGGGAAUCUUCCACAAUGGGCGAAAGCCUGAUGGAGCAACGCCGCGUGUGUGAUGAAGGCUUUCGGGUCGUAAAGCACUGUUGUAUGGGAAGAACAGCUAGAAUAGGAAAUGAUUUUAGUUUGACGGUACCAUACCAGAAAGGGACGGCUAAAUACGUGCCAGCAGCCGCGGUAAUACGUAUGUCCCGAGCGUUAUCCGGAUUUAUUGGGCGUAAAGCGAGCGCAGACGGUUUAUUAAGUCUGAUGUGAAAGCCCGGAGCUCAACUCCGGAAUGGCAUUGGAAACUGGUUAACUUGAGUGCAGUAGAGGUAAGUGGAACUCCAUGUGUAGCGGUGGAAUGCGUAGAUAUAUGGAAGAACACCAGUGGCGAAGGCGGCUUACUGGACUGCAACUGACGUUGAGGCUCGAAAGUGUGGGUAGCAAACAGGAUUAGAUACCCUGGUAGUCCACACCGUAAACGAUGAACACUAGGUGUUAGGAGGUUUCCGCCUCUUAGUGCCGAAGCUAACGCAUUAAGUGUUCCGCCUGGGGAGUACGACCGCAAGGUUGAAACUCAAAGGAAUUGAGGGGACCCGCACAAGCGGUGGAGCAUGUGGUUUAAUUCGAAGCACGCGAGAACCUUACCAGGUCUUGA